rnacentral:rRNA from 1 species
CCCUUAGAUGUUCUGGGCCGCACGCGUGCUACACUGAGUGGAUCAGCGGGUCAGGUUGCGCGAAAGCGUUUCCUAAUCUUUAAAUCCGCUCGUGAUGGGGAUUGACGGUUGCAAUUUUCUGUCAUGAACGAGGAAUUCCCAGUAGGCGCGAGUCAUCAGCUCGCGUCGAUUACGUCCCUGCCCUUUGUACACACCGCCCGUCGCUACUACCGAUCGGAUGGUUUAGUGAGACCCUCGGACUGGUCCCGCUGUCGGACAGGCAACUGUUUGCAGCGCGUGCGCCGGGAAGAAGGUCGAACUUGACUAUCUAGAGGAAGUAAAAGUCGUAACA